rnacentral:lncRNA from 1 species
GAAUACAUUCUGUUCUUAAUAGUUGUUGCUAGUGCAUGCCUACGUACACAUCAAGCAUAGCAUUUUGCAUGUCUGAUAUCACUGGACAUAGGGAUCGCACGCUAUGUGAUACUACAUUGCUUAAGCACUGACAACAUUAUGUACAGGCUGUAAUCAUGUCCGACUCAGGCAGUUGUGAUGUCGCGGCUCAACAAGUAUCACCACAAGACGCUGAACACUUGUCCGGUGCCAAUGAAGGACAGGCGCUACCAGCCCCCACAUCCCGAAUUUCAGUUAAGAGAGCAGGACUUCACACCGGCAGGAUGAAGUAUUCUCCACUAUUGGUUUUGCCUGCAACCAUUUCAUACUACCAACUUUCAGCAAAACAAGUGCAGACAAUCUAAAAAUGAUAUGCAUAUUGUAAAAAGUUUCAACAAACGGAAGCAUACCGCACAACCACAUCCUAUCUCCUGCAUGCAUUUUGUCCGAUUGACAUUUAGCCUACUCUUCCCACAUCGAAUUCCAAAUCCUUUCUCUCAUGAAUAUAGAUUGUAGAAAUCGUAGGCCUCGCCUAGUGUAUCAAAAGUGACCCCUAAUUUCGGUAACAAUGACAUUCUCCCCAGGGGCCUCGGCAAAGGCGCGGACUGAUUUCUCCAAUGUUGUGAUCCUACCUGGGCAUGGGGCACGACCUGGCAUAGCAACUCCGAUCCUGACUCUGAAAUGCAAACACGCAAAUUAUGGUCAGUUUCAACAACGACUUGCUGCCAGUCAUCCUCUUUCCCACACAAAUAUUCAGAUGUCAUUUCUGCAUUCUGACUUUGCUCAUUCUAAUGUUUCCAAUUUCUGUCACAGACUACCCCUCCUGCACUUUGCACACAAUGCAAUCAUGGCAACCACAGAUAUCUUUCCCACAAUUUUAUCAAUUUUACUUCUGUCCUCAUAGUACAACAAAUGACAGAGAUACAUUCAGAAUUAGGUUUCCUUAUGUUCCUAAUAAUUUGUAUGCUUUGAAGUUCAUACCUUCGUGUCCACCCAGGCGUCUUUGAAUCAAUCUGCUCCAUGGAGUUUUCUGAAGCCUCUGGCUUAUCUCCACUCCCUGCUUAUCCUACCGCCGACGCUGGACAGAUCUGCGCCCCGCCACUUGAAGCACUCGCAGCUGCCACUCCAGCGCCGGGCGGCGAUCUAACAGGGUGAUGCAGCGGUUCCAUUGGUAAAUCGCUGUCAGUCACCUCUUCAAUCGGAGUCCUACUGCACGCACACACACAGCGAGCGCUCAAGAUUUAGAUCCCCCACUUUAGCAUGUUAGAGAAUAUGUUUCCGUAGCAUCUCAAACUUCUUUCCUUCUCUAACUCAAACUCCUUGUAAUCUUUCUUGUACUCCAAGCUUGGCUUCGGCCGCAUCAAUAUAAACAGAACCGUGGCUCCCCUCGAGGGAGUAGGGAACGCUCAUUAUCUUUCAUGGUAAUCAGAGCCACCUCUUCUCCUACAUCUAGCCACAAAUCAAAACCCUAGAACCACAUAUCAUCGUCUCCAUGGCUUCUUCGUCCGGCGUCGGCCUCAACCUCGGAUCGCCGCCAUCUGAGAAGCUAGCAAGAGGAAACUUCAUCCUCUGGAAGACCCAGGUACUCCCAGCCCUGCGAGGUGCGCAGGUAACCGGGCUCCUGGACAACUCUGACGCCGCUCCACCCAAGACUGUGGAGGUCACGAAGGCGGACAAGACGACGACCCUCGAGCCGAACCCUCUGUACGGGCCCUGGAUCGCCAAAGACCAGCAGGUCCUGUCAUAUCUUCUCAAUUCCAUGUCUCCAGAAAUCCUUGCGCAAGUCGUCGGGAAGGACUCCACCUAUGAGCUCUGGACGACGGUGAACAAUCUCUUCGCCUCGCAAUCACAGUCCCGGAUCACCAAUCUAAGGAUCGCGAUCACCAACACCAAGAAGGGCACAAUGUCGAGCUCGGCGUAUAUGGCGAAGAUGAAGAGCCUUGGGGAUGAACUAGCUGCCGCUGGUCGUCCCGUCUCUGAUCCGGAGAUGGUGGACUACAUACUCGCAGGACUCGACCGCGACUACGACUCCGUGGUGGCGGCGAUCGGUGCUGUCAAGAACACAAUCACCGCCGAUGACCUCUUCGCUCAGAUCUCCGCCUUUGAUCAGAGGAUGGAGAUGCUGGGAGACUCGUCUUCAGGCGGGUUUCAUUCAUCUGCCAACACCAUCUACAGCGGCCGCGGCCAGUCCCGUGGCAGAUCCCGUGGGCGAGGAGGAAGAGGGCGCGGCCGCGGUGACCGCGGUGACCGCCAGCCUUCUCCUGCAAAUAGAGGCGGCGGAUUCAGAGGACGCCCUCGACAGCAACAGCAACAGCAGGUACGCGAGGAGCAGCAUGACUAUCCUGAGUGCCAGAUAUGCUAUAGACAUCAUCCAGGAGGUGCACGUGUCUGCUGGUGGCGCUAUGAAGAGAAUGAUCAAGAAGAGAAGGAGGCGCAUGCUGUCUCCUAUGGCGUGGACACUAAUUGGUACGCAGACAGUCAGCAACAAAUCACAUCACAGGUGAACUUGACAAGCUGACAGUACGGGAGAAAUACAACGGAGGCGACCAAAUUCGCACGGCAAGCGGUUCUGGUAUGAAUAUCACCCACAUUGGUAGUUCAAUUGUUCAAAACCCCAUGAAAAAUUUGCACCUUAAAGAUGUCUUGCAUGUUCCUCAAACUUCCAAAAAUCUUGUUUCUGUUCAUCGAUUCACCCUUGAUAAUAAUGUUCUUAUAGAAUUCUAUCCUUACUUUUUCUUGGUUAAGGAUUUGAGCACAAGGAGAAUCAUUCUUAGAGGACGGUGCGUGGGAGGCCUCUAUCCACUCAUAUCAUCAUCAUCAUCUUCGUGGUCCAAUAAACAAGCAAAUAUUGUCACCAAGCCAUCAUCAUCAAGGUGGCAUAGUCGAUUAGGUCAUCCAUCUUCAGUCAUAGUUAAAUAUGUUCUUAGCAAAAAUAAACUCUCUUAUGAGAAUAGUGUUGAGUCAGUUUGUGAUCCGUGUCAACAAGCAAAAAGUCAUCAAUUACCCUAUCUCAUCUCUACUAGUGUGUCUACUGCUCCUCUACAACUUAUAUUUUCAGAUGUAUGGGGGCCAGCCCCUACUUCAGUUGGGAGAUUUUCUUACUAUGUAAGCUUUAUUGAUGACUAUAGUAAAUUUACUUGGAUUUACUUGUUAAAGAAACGGUCUGAUGUAUUCCAAGUCUUCAUCAAUUUUCAAAACCUUGUUGAACGCAAACUGAACUCCAAGAUCAUUGCUAUGCAAAGUGACUGGGUGGUGAGUAUGAAAAAUUGAACUCUUUCUUCCAAAAACUUGGUAUUUCACAUCAUGUUUCUUGCCCUCAUGCUCACCAACAAAAUGGGUCUGCUGAAAGAAAGCACCGUCACAUAGUUGAUAUGGGGCUAGCAUUGCUAGCAAAUGCAUCCAUGCCACUCAAAUUCUGGGAUGAAGCAUUCUUAACCGCUACAUAUCUUAUCAAUUUGCUUCCUAGUAAAGUCAUCAAAUUUGAAACACCCAUUACACGACUCCUCGGUGUCACACCCAACUACACAUCUCUUCGUGUUUUUGGUUGUGCAUGUUGGCCCAACCUCAGACCCUACAACACACGCAAACUCGCUUUUCGCUCCAAAAAGUGUGUCUUCUUAGGCUAUAGUCCCAUGCAUAAAGGAGUUAAAUGUCUAGAUGUUCCUACUGGUAGGGUCUACAUAUCCAGAGAUGUAGUUUUUGAUGAGUCUGUGUUCCCUUUUGCUUCCCUUCAUCCCAAUGCUGGUGCACUUCUCCGCAAGGAAAUCCUUCUUCUUCCUCCACAUCUUCGGUCUUUUGAUCAUGGGGGCGACAGUUGUACUAACCAAAGUGAUGAUAUUCCUGCUGGUAUUGGUUCUUCUCUGUUGCCUGUGCAGGUCCCUGGUGAAAACGGCGCUCAAAAUGAUCAAAAUUUCGAAAAUCAAGCUCAAGAUCAUCUUAUAUUUCAUGCUGAGGAAGGAGACGAACCUGGCACAGACGACGAAGCUGAUCCAGUGGCGCCCGCAACUCCUGUUCGCGCGCAGACCUCGGAUCCCGCGGCCAAAUCAGCCUCGGAUCGCGCUCCCACCAACCGCAGCGCUGAUUCAGUAGCAGGCGGGACCAGCCGCGGGGUCGGCUGUGGGGCCGAAUCCGCCUCGCCCAGCGCGCGCCACUCCCACGCCGCCACCUCAGCAGCAGGCGGGACCAGCCGUGGGGCCGAAUCUCCCUCGCCCAGCGUGCGCCUACAAUCGCGGUCGGGCGGUCGAUCCGUUGUGCCGGCUCGGGCGGCUGGCACCCGUGUGGCGGACACACAGGCGGCCACACCAACGGCUACAGGAUCCUCUGUGCAGGUGGCGCCAGAUUCGCCUGUGUCAUCACAUGCAGCUUCCUCGGGAUCUUCUGCGGCGAGUGCUCCUGUGGUCCAUCCAGCAGUUCCUUCACGAGUUAUGACUCGAUUACAGAAAGGUAUACGAAAUCUUAAAAUAAGAAAAGAUGGGACUAUACCGUAUGGAAUGUUGUGUAUUUCAGGAGAACCAACAACAUUGAAUAGUGCACUUAAUGAUCCUAAGUGGAAGAAGGCAAUGGAUGAGGAAUAUUCUGCACUUAUGAGGAACAAGACAUGGCAUCUUGUGCCAAAUCAGAAAGGUAAAAAUAUCAUCGAUUGCAAAUGGGUUUACAGAAUUAAAAAAAGGCAGAUGGCUCCAUUGACAGGUACAAAGCACGUCUCGUUGCAAAGGGUUUUAAACAACGUUAUGGUAUUGAUUAUGAGGACACUUUCAGUCCCGUUGUUAAAGCUGCAACUAUCAGACUUGUGCUAGCCAUUGCUGUAUCCAAGGGUUGGAGUCUACGACAGCUAGAUGUACAGAAUGCGUUUUUGCAUGGCAUUCUAGAAGAGGAAGUGUUUAUGAGACAACCACCUGGUUAUGAGGACAAGAAGUCACCACAUUAUGUUUGCAAGCUUGACAAGGCACUCUAUGGUUUAAAACAAGCACCCAGAGCAUGGUACUCCAGAUUGAGCUUACAGUUGAAAUAUCUUGGUUUCAUUGCCUCCAAAGCUGAUACAUCUUUGUUUAUCUAUAACAAGGCUGGAGUAGUCAUUUUUGUGCUUAUAUAUGUUGAUGAUAUCAUAGUUGCAAGUUCUUCACAAAAUGCUACUAAUGCACUUCUGCAUGAUUUGAGCUCAGAGUUUGCCUUGAAAGACCUAGGUGAUUUGCAUUUCUUCCUAGGCAUUGAGGUCAAGAAAACUCAAGAUGGAAUUGUGUUAAAUCAGGAGAAAUAUAUCUCUGAGCUUCUGUCUCGCAUGAGGAUGAAGAAUUGCAAGCCAGUUCCUACACCUUUGUCUUCCUCGGAAAAACUUUCAGCAUAUGAAGGUGUGCCACUUCAGGAGGAGGAAAGUACAAGGUAUAGGAGUACUGUGGGAGCAUUACAAUAUUUAACUCUCACACGUCCAGAUAUCUCAUUUGCUGUCAACAAGGUUUGUCAAUAUCUGCAUGCACCUACUUCUGCACAUUGGUCAGCUGUCAAGAGAAUUGUGAGAUAUGUAAAGCAUACUAUGGGAAUAGGACUCCAUUUCAAACGGUCUAAUUCCUCUCUUGUGAGUGCAUUCUCUGAUGCUGACUGGACAGGAUGCAGUGAUGACAGAAGAUCAACUGGAGGCUUUGCAGUAUUUUUUGGGUCUAACCUUAUUUCUUGGAGUGCUAGAAAGCAAACCACCGUGUCACGGUCAAGCACAGAAGCUGAAUAUAAGUCCUUGGCAAAUGCAACUGCAGAAAUCAUUUGGGUUGAAUCACUUCUUGAGGAAUUGGGAAUCAAGAAGAAUCGUAUCUCAUGUUUAUGGUGUGAUAACUUGGGAGCAACAUAUUUGUCUGCAAAUCCUGUGUUUCAUGCAAGGACAAAGCACAUCGAAAUUGAUUUUCACUUUGUGCGAGAAAGGGUUGCAGCCAAGAAACUUGAGAUACGGUUUAUUCCCUCCAGGGAUCAAGUAGCAGACGGCUUUACAAAGGCAUUGCCAUCAAGACCAUUUGAGGAGUUCAAGAGUAAUCUUAAUCUAGGAUAGUUAAGAUUAAGGGAGGGUGUUAGAGAAUAUGUUUCCGUAGCAUCUCAAACUCCUUUCCUUCUCUAACUCAAACUCCUUGUAAUCUUUCUUGUACUCCAAGCUUGGCUUCGGCCGCAUCAAUAUAAACAGAACCGUGGCUCCCCUCGAGGGAGUAGGGAACGCUCAUUAUCUUUCAUAGCAAAACCAAAUCGCAGACCAGAAAGAGCAGACGCGGGCAGAUUUCGCACCUGUUGAACGGCUCCAUCAAGAACUCCAUGCGCGCCGGAGCAGAGAUUCUCGAACCCUAGAACUGCUGCUAUCACCACCGAGCCGCCCCGAUAGAACCCGACCGACAGGUGCGAGAGGAAGGAGCCACCAUAU